UGCGCAGGCGGUUUUGUAAGACAGGCGUGAAAUCCCCGGGCUCAACCUGGGAAUUGCGCUUGUGACUGCAAGGCUGGAGUGCGGCAGAGGGGGAUGGAAUUCCGCGUGUAGCAGUGAAAUGCGUAGAUAUGCGGAGGAACACCGAUGGCGAAGGCAAUCCCCUGGGCCUGCACUGACGCUGAGGCGCGAAAGCGUGGGGAGCAAACAGGAUUAGAUACCCUAGUA
rnacentral:rRNA from 1 species